UACCCGGUAGGUAAGGCUACCACAGGGAUACGGACUGCUACCGCGAAAUAGUGGAGACACUAUGAGCAGGUCAACAGGUUAUGUCGAAAAACAAGGCAUACCCUAACGCAGUUUCACUGCCCUGCGAAGCUAAAGCUUGAACGGUG
rnacentral:sRNA from 1 species